CUCGGAGGUGACAGAAUUAGCAACAUCUGUGCUGUCUUCAAAUGAUGGCAGAUCUAACUGAAGGAUCCCAGCACGAGUACUUGCGUGAACUUCUGGUUUAUUUCAAGACAGUCUUGAAGAAUCUGGCGUUGCUACAAGCUGUGCUUCCCUUCAUCUGCCCUGGAAUACUGUAAAAGAAACCUGCUAUUGGGAGUUGCAGAAGCUGGUGAAAUUUACCAGGAGACAAAUGAAGUAGUUGUGUAUUCAAAGAGAAGAAUUACUGAUAUCAUUUAUCAGCUGGACUUCGUUCACCACUUGUCUCAACUCUGUAGACUGAAGAGUAUCAAGAAGCAAAGUCUCAAAAUUCUCACCAUUCUUCAGGCACUAAAACAAAUAUUCUUUCUUUGAAAAAUGCCAAACCUAACUGUUGGACAGAAAAAAAUUUGCUAUGGUUUGCCUUCCUAGACCCCCAAAUCCAUCUUUCUAUGCCACUGCUAUUGAAUUACUCUUAAGCAGAACUGCAUAAGAAGGAAGUGCGGCAGUCUCCACAUUUAAGGCUCUUUGCACGCAGUUCCCUGAAGAUUAUACGGAGGACAAUGGAUCCUUUGCUGUUUCAAUCAGACAGGAUUUUUCCUUCGUAUGUAAGUUCUGUUUUGUAGAAACAAGAGAGCUGUUGUGUCAUAUUUGCCAUAUAAUUUUACUACAGUGUGCUAUAUUACUGCAUAAGGAACUUUGAGUUGCAGUUUUGGAUAUGUUCAUGUUGGGCUAAAUUUAGAAAGAUCUAUAUUUAGGAAUUCUUAUGGACUUGAAAAUAGCCUCGCUCA
rnacentral:lncRNA from 1 species